GAUGAAGAACGUAGCGAAAUGCGAUAAGUAGUGUGAAUUGCAGAAUUCAGCGAAUCAUCGAAUCUUUGAACGCACAUUGCGCCCUUCGGUUAUUCCUUAGGGCAUGCCUGUUCGAGCGUCAUUUCAACCUUCAAGCCUGGCUUGGUGUUGGGCGCUGUCCCGCUUCCGCGCGCGGACUCGCCCCAAAUGAAUUGGCAGUCGCACCCUCCGAGCCGCGAGCGCAGCACAAGUCGCGCGGGCGGAACUCUGGGGGGACGGACGCUCCACAAGACCCUUUCUCAGUCUUGACCUCGGAUCAGGUAGGGAUACCCGCUGAACUUAAGCAUAUCAAUAAGCGGAGGA
rnacentral:misc_RNA from 1 species